AGAACGAACGCUGGCGGCAGGCCUAACACAUGCAAGUCGAACGCCCGUAGCAAUACGGGAGUGGCAGACGGGUGAGUAACGCGUGGGAACGUGCCCUUCGGUUCGGAAUAACUCAGGGAAACUUGAGCUAAUACCGGAUACGUCCGUAAGGAGAAAGAUUUAUCGCCGAAGGAUCGGCCCGCGUCGGAUUAGCUAGUUGGUGAGGUAACGGCCCACCAAGGCGACGAUCCGUAGCUGGUCUGAGAGGAUGAUCAGCCACACUGGGACUGAGACACGGCCCAGACUCCGUACGGGAGGCAGCAGGUGGGGAAUAUUGGACAAGUGGGCGCGAAGCCUGAUCCGAGCCAUCGCCGCGUGAGUGAAGAAGGCCUUAGGGUACGUAAGUCUC
rnacentral:rRNA from 1 species